AUGGAGAGGAAACUGGAAGCUGUGCUGGGGAUUCUGUGCGUGCAGAUUUGCUGGGUGAGAGGAGUUGAGGUGGAGCAGAGUCCUUCAGCCCUGAGUCUCCAGGAGGGAACCAGUUCUGCCCUGAGAUGCAGUUUUUCUGAAACCCUGACAACUGUGCAGUGGUUCCGACAGAAUCCCAGGGGCAGCCUCGUCAAUCUUUUUUACCUGGCUCCAGGAACAAAGGAGAAUGGGAGGUUAAAGUCAACAUUCAACUCCAAGGAGCGCUACAGCACCCUGCACAUCAGGGAUGCCCAGCUGGAGGACUCAGGCACCUACCUCUGUGCAGUACAAGCACAGUGCUCCCAGCAAGCCUGCAACCUGGCCCCAAACUGCAGCUGUGUGUGCAGCUACAGUCCUACCACAGGGAGCCUCUGA